GCCGGCCCGGUUCCUGUUCCGGGCGAGGCUGAGGCGGCGGCGGCGGGAUGGACCGGGAGCUGCUGCGUCAGGCGCUGAGCUACCACGGCCCCGAGCUGCUCUCGCUGCUCCGCGCCGAGCAGCACGACAACCCCGACUUCCGCGGGCUGCUGCCGCCGCCGGGGACCGCCUUCGAGCCGCCCCGCGGGGCCCCGUCCCCGCCGGCCGCCUGGAAAGAGAGGGCGAGCCUUGACACCGAGAUAAAGCGCUUCAUUGCCAAAAAAGCGGAUCUCCUGUUCGCUCACUCCUGGAAGCCCAACGGACCUCUCUGCGAGACGAUUGAGGAAAAUGAAGAGUAUUAUGCUGUUAUGCCUCCCCUGGAACGGUUCAUGGAGGUUCCCAGGGAAGACAGGAGAGAAUUGUUUUUUCGAGACAUUGAACGUGGUGAUAUCGUGAUCGGGAGGAUUACUUCUAUUCGUGAAUUUGGCUUUUUCAUGGUGUUGAUUUGUCUGGGAAGUGGUGUCAUACGGGAGAUUUCAGAUCUAGAAAUCACUGCUCUUUGUCCUUUGAGAGAUGUGCCUUCUCAGAGCAAUCAUGGAGAUCCUUUGUCUUAUUAUCAAACUGGAGACCUUAUUCGAGCUGCAAUCAAGGACAUUGAUCGUUACCAUGAGAAGCUCACGGUGUCACUUUACAGCUCGGCUCUUCCACCCAAUCUUUCCAGUACAAAACUAGGUGUAAUUACUUCCGAUGACUUCCCAUUACAUUAUAGGCGAAGCAUGGAAGUUGCUAAUACAGGAGAGACAUUUGAAGAGGUUUUGCAUCGUUCCCCAGGAUUUGCUAAUCCAUCAUUAGUUGAAUAUUUAGCAGAAAAACUAGGGCUAAGUGAAUCAAAUCCACCGUCUUUGAUGCGAAGUCUUCAAAUUAAAAAUUUCAAUGAAGAAGAUUUUGCUCCUGCAUUGAGGAAAAAGCAAUCUGCAUCUUGGGCCUUGAAAUGUGUGAAGGCUGGGGUUGAUUAUUUUAAGGUUGGGCGCCAUGUGGAAGCCAUGAAUGAGUACAACAAGGCUUUGGAAAUUGAUCCUCAAAAUGUUGAAGCUUUGGUAGCACGUGGAGCUCUGUAUGCAACAAAAGGAAGUCUGAACAAAGCUAUUGGUGAUUUUGAAAUUGCUUUAGAAAACUGUCCUACCCAUAGAAAUGCAAGAAAAUACCUCUGUCAGACACUUGUGGAAAGAGGCGGGCAGUUGGAAGAGGAAGACAAACUAAUAAAUGCUGAGAAUUACUAUAAAAAAGCUUUAAGUUUGGAUGAGACUUUUCAGGAAGCAGAAGAGGCCUUAACGAAGCUCCGUAAGCAUAUGCAGGUGAUUCUUUACUUUCUCUUCAUAUAGUGCUCUCAGUGAUAAUAAAUGAGUAUCAAAAAUCUUACUAAAUCUUUUGAACAGGGAGAGUUUAGGUUGAUGGUUUGUCUUAUUCUCUGCUUCCCUUCUCCACAGUAAAUCUUUUAUAGUGAGCAUUAUGGCUGUACCUACCAGAAGAAAGGUACCUCUUGAUGACUCCACUGUUUUGAACAGGAUAGUAAAGAAAUGCCAAACAGUGGAGACAGUGAAAGAGCAAAGCUGUUAACUCUGCUAGCUAAAGCAAGGAUAAGAAUAUUCUAUCGCACAAGCACGAUUAAUAAUGUUAAAUUAAAACGUUCUGUGAAUACAAACAUGCAAAGCACAAAAUACUUAGGCAAGCCAAAUAAACAUUGCAAACCAUCGUACCACGCAUAUCCUUGUCAUUUGGAGCAAUUACGAAAAGAUAGAGUAACACCAGUCAAAGCUAACUCACAGGAAGAUCGCAUGAGAGGGGAAAUUAAGAGGUGAUUUAAAGGAAGACAGCAGGAGGUGGAGGGUGGGUGGGCAGGCAGUUUUGAAUAUCUUAGCUUUCUUCUCCGCUGUUUUUUUUUCUCUCUUCUCUUGCACACAGCAUGUUUCCCAGGUGAGCCCUGGUGGGUCUUUAUGGUAAUCAGAGUUGUCAUCUUUCUUUCAUUUACCUCCUUUACUUGUGUUGCCUUCCAGAGAGGAUUAAAGAGUAAAACAGAGCGCUGAGGAACAGGCUUGUUUUAUUCUGUGCUUCUGCAUGUAAGGACAUACAUAGACUGGGGUAGAUGGCCUUAAUCAACACUUCUUCAGUUGGUGUAGCCAUAAUGCUGACAAGUUGUGUGGAAAGAAGGGGGAAGAGGAGAUAUGACAAUCUUUUUAAUAAAACCAAACUACAUCAUAGAUAAACUGUUGUAUGGUAUUUGAGCGCUAGCUACAUUUGGCUGCUUUAGAAAGAGGUGUCAGUCUCAGGUAAAAUAAAGAAGAACAUUCUCAGCAAGUAGGAGACAAAUUUUACUCUCCUUUAGCAUUUUCCUGGGAUAAUGGGUCAUUGAUGCAGCAGAUGAAAAAACACGAUGCUAGCUAUUGGUUGUUGAUUUGCAUAACCUUAACUGCAAUUAAGGGUUUCUUUUAUUGUAUCUGUUAAAACAAUUGGUAAGUUUUGAAAACGAUAAUCAGACUUUCUGCUCACUCUGAAUAUGAAUGGAGCUACUCUUUAGGGCUGUAGAUGGCAGAAGUGUGAUCUCUAAUAGACUUAAGUAGUUUAAGUGUUAUUCAUCUGGUGAGGUACUCUUCUGCAUUUACCUGUAUUUUAAUACGUAAGUCUGAUAUUAUCACUGUUGUGCUAGAAUGGCUGAAACAACACUGAAGUAUGUUUUCCUGUAAUACUGAUUAUGUGUUUUUCUCCAAUGCAUUUUCUUCUGAAUUGGACCAUUGUUGCUGUAUCUGACAUCUGGUGCUGCUCAUCACCAACAAACCCUUGGAACAUGGUUUCUUACGUAAACUAUGCAUCAAACUGGUCUGUGAAAUUGUUACAAAACGAAAUCUUUGGAAAUGAGGGAGAAACAAGCUGCCAAAGAAGAGAGACAGAAA